rnacentral:rRNA from 1 species
AUUGAACGCUGGCGGCAGGCCUAACACAUGCAAGUCGAGCGGAUGAAGGGAGCUUGCUCCUGGAUUCAGCGGCGGACGGGUGAGUAAUGCCUAGGAAUCUGCCUGGUGGUGGGGGAUAACGUCCGGAAACGGGCGCUAAUACCGCAUACGGCCUGCGGGAGGAAGUGGGGGAUCUUCGGACCUCACGCUAUCAGAUGAGCCUAGGUCGGAUUAGCUAGUUGGUGGGGUAAAGGCCUACCACGGCGACGAUCCGUAACUGGUCUGAGAGGAUGAUCAGUCACCCUGGAACUGAGACACGGCCCAGAGACCGACGGGAGGCAGCAGUGGGGAAUAUUGGACGAUGGGGGGAAGCCUGAUCCAGCCGUGCCGCGUGUGUGCAGAAGGUCUUCGGAUUGUAAAGCACUUUAAGUUGGGAGGAAGGGCAGUACGUUAAUACCUUGCUGUUUUGACGGUACCAAGAGAAUAAGCACCGGCUAACUUCGUG